AUUGAACGCUGGCGGCAGGCCUAACACAUGCAAGUCGAGCGGAGCGGCGGACGGGUGAGUAAUGCCUAGGAAUCUGCCUGGUAGUGGGGGAUAACGUCCGGAAACGGGCGCUAAUACCGCAUACUAUCAGAUGAGCCUAGGUCGGAUUAGCUAGUUGGUGGGGUAAAGGCCUACCAAGGCGACGAUCCGUAACUGGUCUGAGAGGAUGAUCAGUCAAACUGGAACGGAGAAAGGGGACCGCCUCCGACGUGAGGCAGCAGUGGGGAAGAUUGGACAAUGGGCGAAAGCCUGAACCAGCAAUGCCGCGUGUGUGAAGAAGGUCUUCGGAGGGUAAAGCACUUUAAGUUGGGAGGCGAUACAAAAAGAAUAAGCACCGGCUAACUUCGUGCCAGCAGCCGCGGUAAUUC
rnacentral:rRNA from 1 species